rnacentral:lncRNA from 1 species
GAACAGCGGUGCUGGAGCCGCCCUUGGUCCGCGCACCCCCGGGCCCGCCUUCGUUCAAGCUCCUCUUGGACUUCACGAGCGGUCCUGUGUCGAAGAGUUUGUGCGAGUCCAAAAGCCAAGCGCGUUGUUAAUCAGGAAUUUCAAAAGGAGGUCCGGCUUCUGCUGCCGCUUCGGUGGAGUCACUUGAAGAGAAAGGCCGGAAAAAAUACUGCUUUGUUAUAGCGCUUUUUCCCUACACGCUGAUGGGCUUGUUGCUAAAAAGGUUAAAUGUGCUUGCAUCCCGUGGCCUAGGAUAGUGCUUCUGUUGUGUUUGGUGGUUUUCUUUGGUUUUUUUUUUUUUGUACCGUGUAAAGGAGACACUAUUUAGUUUGGUCAUUUAUACAUGAAUGCCAGUUUUCUGAAACAGAGUAAAAUAAUGGGGUAUAUUCAUAUUUCUUAAGGGGAAAAAUAUAUAUACUUAAAGCCUUUAAUAUGAAGAUGGCAUAAACCUGAGUGUUAUUUCACAGCUAUUUAAGGCCAGAUUCCAUGGAAAGUAUAUUCAUUUUUCAAAGAGACACUCUUCUGUCUUUAUUUUAAAAUUGGCAAACUUUUUGGUAAUCAAUGGUAACUAAUAAUUGAAGUUUCAAAGAUUUGGGGAAGCAAAGGCAUAAUACUUAAUAGCAUGAUAUUCUUUUGUCUUUCAGAAGUACAAAUAUAAUGUCAGGUGGCUGAAAAAUUGCCUAUCAAAAUGUCAAAAAGGCCUUCUUAUGCCCCACCUCCUACCCCAGCUCCUGCAACCCAGUUUGUGAAAGAGAAGCUGAAUAAACUUAUUUCACCUUUAAGGCUAGAUCCUGCAGAUACUUUUUUGCAAGCAGUCAGUUGGUCUAAAAUUAUUCACAGUGGGUUCCAACAGUAUACUGGAAUAUUUAAGAACAAACUGAUACAUUUAAUUCUAAAACUUCCCACUCAACUUGUGCCCAAAUCAUGGGGAAACAAUGCAUUUUUUUUCAUGUUUCUGUUGUACCUAGCUGAUUCUCAGUGGCAUGCAGGAGUAUGCAAAAUGCUGUUAUAUUGGGUCAGAAUAAUGAAACGCUCACGAUGCCAGUCUUAUUCAAAUUUCUUGAAAUCACUGGUAUUUUGGAGUCUAUGGCAUGAGAAAUACACUUUCUAGUAAAAUGGUAUGGAAUGACACUGAGGAAAACAGGAACAGUAGCUUUGAAUCAUGCUGAGUUACAUUCCUGCAUGUAUAAAAAGGUACUGAAAUACCGGUAUGCUGUGGUCAGGAAAGCAUUUGAAAGCAAAUGCACCUCUUUUGCAGCAUUCACAUUUCUAAAUAGCUUGCAUUUUAGGAGUAACAUAUUCACAUGAGAAAAUACAAAUCUUUUGUACAGAAGAAAGAGCAAAGAUGCUACAGUGAAAUUUUUUUGCCAAAGAAAAUUUGAAAACUGUUAUCCAAUAGAGUGUCCCUGAUCUCUGCAUCUGGGAUGAAAACUGCAGGAUGGCAUUUAUGCAGAUGAAAUGUGAUGUUUCAAAUUUAUUGUGCCAUACUUUCCAUUUAAAGAGGUUUGAAAAUUUUAAUGUAUAAAUAUAAGUUGUGUUCUUAUAAAUUUACAUAAAUAAAACUUUAUUUGCAUAGUUUGUUCAGAGUUUUCAUUUUGCACAGAACUUUAAUAGAUUUGUGCCAGUAUUAGAAGGAACAUGAUGGCAUCUGCUCUUACAACUGGAUUCCUGCAUCGAGACCUGUGCACACGUGUGUGUGAUUCCCUUGGGAUGUAGCAUGAAUACAGAUGUUAAGUGGUGUAUACCGAUGUGGUACAUUCUUUAGUCAAGUUAGAAGUCUUCAGAACGGUAACUGAAACAAACUUCAAAACCACAACUAGUGACGUGCAUUACCUCUCUUUCAAGCAUCUUCUGUAUUACAUUUUAUACAGUCCUUGAGAUGAUAGUCUGUGCUCUGUUAAUGCAAGUCAUAAAAGUAGACAAAUAACCUUGCUUGUUCUUCCGCAGCCAGUUCCAGUUACUACAGUC